GCGUCGGUGGUGCACGGUGCACGCCUCAACAAUAUUCAGAGUUUUCGAAAGGAUGAAGGAGGAGACCGGGGUUCGACUCCCCGCCGGUGCA